CUGCUUUAACAAUGACUUAGGCUAAUGAUUUGUUAUAGUGUUUGUUAUAAAGCAUAUACAUGUAUAUUUUACACUAAGUUUAUUAAACUAAUUAUGAAAAGAAUGUGGUACAACAUGUGUUUAGUUUUUUUAUUGAUAUUUCAGAGGUUUCAUAUGUGAGGUAAUCUUGCUUAUGCUGGGAGUGAAGGCAGUGUGUAUGACCACUUGAUAUGAAAGACACAUCCUGUUUUUAAAGGUGGAUCAUGAGUGAAGCUCUGCAGGUCUGCCAUUGGCUUGAUAACAGUGGUUUAUGUGAAUUGAGUAAAUUCAAUUUAUAAAUAAAUCUUUCACCAAGCAUUCACCUAUUUACGGACAAAACAGAUCCAAAUCUUGUUCAGCUUGAUGCUCAACCUUGUAUGAUGAUGACCACAGCCAGGUGAUGGAGAUCUGUGGUAAUCACAGCCUGCAUCUCAAGAUCAACAUGACAACAGCAGAUCAUUUCUUAUCUUACUCUUAUGAUCCCGUAAAGAAAAUAAUAUGGACUUUUUUGGUGAGAUUCUACAAAGAUUGACACAAUCCUAUUGACUUUUAUUUUUACAGUUAAUAAUGCAUUAUAAACAUCCCAUUCAUUUUUAUUCUAUGUCAUCGAUCUGUUUGUGCUAAAAUGUAUACAUCUGAAUGUAAUGUCAAUAAUAUGUUAAUAUUCAGGAUUUAUUAUCAUUUGCAUGUUUUGAUGUUGCAUGUCAUGAUUUUAUUGAUUUUAUGUAAUUGUUGUCUAUUUAAAAUGAUUUUAAUUGCCAAAUUUUAUGGUUAAUUUAUUUAAUAUUGAAGCUGUUAUUUAACACCCAUAUCUUAUUUGAGUAGUAAUUUGUUAUAUUUGCAUAAUGAUAAUUUAUAUAUUUAUUCUGAUUGUGAUUUUAAUGCACAUAUUUAUUAUUGUAUGACACCUCAUGUAAUGAAAAAGUGAAAAUAAAAGUAUGUUCUGAUGUCUUGCAAUUCUGUUUUUAA